rnacentral:rRNA from 1 species
AUUGAACGCUGGCGGCAGGCCUAACACAUGCAAGUCGAGCGAGCGGCGGACGGGUGUGUAAUGUAUGGGGACUGCCCGAUAGAGGGGGCUAAAUACUGGAAACGGUGGCUAAUCCCGCAUACUAGCGGAUAACCCAUAUGGGAUGAGCUAGUAGGUGGGGUAAAGGCUCACCUAGGCGAAGAUGUCUAGCUGGUCUGAGAGGAUGAGCAGCAACACGUGGACUGAGACACGGACCAGAAUCCUACGGAGGCAGCAGUAGGGAAUAUUGGACAAUGGGCGCAAGCCUGAUGCAGCCAUGCCGCGUGUAUGAAGAAGGCCUUAGGGUUGUAAAGUACUGUCAGCGGGGAGGCGUUACUCGCAGAAGAAGCACCGGCUAACUCCGUGCCAGCAGCCGCGGUAAUAC